rnacentral:rRNA from 1 species
GUCUCCUACGGGGGGCAGCAGUCGGGAAUAUUGCGCAAUGGAGGAAACUCUGACGCAGUGACGCCGCGUAUAGGAAGAAGGUCUUCGGAUUGUAAACUAUUGUCGUUAGGGAAGAGAAAGGACAGUACCUAAGGAGGAAGCUCCGGCUAACUACGUGCCAGCAGCCGCGGUAAUACGUAGGUGGCAAGCGUUAUCCGGAUUUAUUGGGCGUAAAGCGAGCGCAGGCGGUUGCUUAGGUCUGAUGUG